UACGUAGGUGGCGAGCGUUGUCCGGAUUUAUUGGGUUUAAAGGGUGCGUAGGUGGCCAACUAAGUCGGACGUGAAAUCCCUCGGCUUAACCGGGGAACUGCGUCCGAUACUGGUUGGCUUGAGUUUGGGAGAGGGAUGCGGAAUUCCAGGUGUAGCGGUGAAAUGCGUAGAUAUCUGGAGGAACACCGGUGGCGAAGGCGGCAUCCUGGACCAAUACUGACGCUGAGGAGCGAAAGCCAGGGGAGCAAACGGG
rnacentral:rRNA from 1 species